AUGAACGCUAGCUACAGGCUUAACACAUGCAAGUCGAGGGGCAGCAUUUUAGUUUGCUUGCAAACUAAAGAUGGCGACCGGCGCACGGGUGAGUAACACGUAUCCAACCUGCCGAUAACUCGGGGAUAGCCUUUCGAAAGAAAGAUUAAUAUCCGAUGGUAUAUUAAAACCGCAUGGUUUUACUAUUAAAGAAUUUCGGUUAUCGAUGGGGAUGCGUUCCAUUAGUUUGUUGGCGGGGUAACGGCCCACCAAGACUACGAUGGAUAGGGGUUCUGAGAGGAAGGUCCCCCACAUUGGAACUGAGACACGGUCCAAACUCCUACGGGAGGCAGCAGUGAGGAAUAUUGGUCAAUGGACGAGAGUCUGAACCAGCCAAGUAGCGUGAAGGAUGACUGCCCUAUGGGUUGUAAACUUCUUUUAUAUGGGAAUAAAGUAUUCCACGUGUGGGAUUUUGUAUGUACCAUAUGAAUAAGGAUCGGCUAACUCCGUGCCAGCAGCCGCGGUAAUACGGAGGAUCCGAGCGUUAUCCGGAUUUAUUGGGUUUAAAGGGAGCGUAGGUGGAUUGUUAAGUCAGUUGUGAAAGUUUGCGGCUCAACCGUAAAAUUGCAGUUGAAACUGGCAGUCUUGAGUACAGUAGAGGUGGGCGGAAUUCGUGGUGUAGCGGUGAAAUGCUUAGAUAUCACGAAGAACUCCGAUUGCGAAGGCAGCUCACUAGACUGCAACUGACACUGAUGCUCGAAAGUGUGGGUAUCAAACAGGAUUAGAUACCCUGGUAGUCCACACAGUAAACGAUGAAUACUCGCUGUUUGUGAAAUACAGUAAGCGGCCAAGCGAAAGCAUUAAGUAUUCCACCUGGGGAGUACGCCGGCAACGGUGAAACUCAAAGGAAUUGACGGGGGCCCGCACAAGCGGAGGAACAUGUGGUUUAAUUCGAUGAUACGCGAGGAACCUUACCCGGGCUUAAAUUGCAAAUGAAUAAUCUGGAAACAGGUUAGCCGCAAGGCAUUUGUGAAGGUGCUGCAUGGUUGUCGUCAGCUCGUGUCGUGAGAUGUUGGGUUAAGUCCCGCAACGAGCGCAACCCUUAUUGCUAGUAGCCAGCGGUUCGGCCGGGCACUCUAGUGAGACUGCCGGAGACAAUCCGGAGGAAGGUGGGGAUGACGUCAAAUCAGCACGGCCCUUACGUCCGGGGCUACACACGUGUUACAAUGGGGGGGUACAGAAGGCAGCUACCUGGUGACAGGAUGCUAAUCCCAAAAACCUCUCUCAGUUCGGAUCGAAGUCUGCAACCCGACUUCGUGAAGCUGGAUUCGCUAGUAAUCGCGCAUCAGCCAUGGCGCGGUGAAUACGUUCCCGGGCCUUGUACACACCGCCCGUCACACCAUGGGAGUCGGAUAUGCCCGAAGCCGGUGACCUAACCGCAAGGAAGGAGCCGUCGAAGGUGGAGCCGAUGACUGGGGUG
rnacentral:rRNA from 1 species